UGACUUGGAGUCAAGAUGUGCUGUACAGUUUGGUGCUGAGUGCUCUGGACGCCCCAGCAGGGCCGGAGAAAAUCUGCAGAGGCAGCAGCAACUGACCCUAACAGAGCAAGAGGCCUGACCUUCACACCUAUGUAACCCAAGGUCACAGAAAUGCUGAGGGGCCAUGUGACUCCAGUGAAGCAGGAGUAUCCAUCCAGCCACAGAGAUGGGACCUGUCCAAAUGGGACCUGUCUGUUCCAAAGGUUAUUCUGCUUGUUCUGGAGACUGGGAAUUCCAAGAGCAUGAUACCAGCAUCUGGCGAGCGUUAUCCCCUGGUAGGAAGUAUCACAUGUGCUGGUUAAUUAACCAAUCAUAAAGAAAAGAUGAAAGUAUGUGAACCUCAAAUCCUUGUGUUCUGGAAAAAAAACAUACUCACAGAAUAAUGAAAAAAAAUUUCAACUAAUGAGAACCAGGAACAAUGACCACUGGAAAUAAUGAAAACAGUUGGAUCAAACAGCUACAAGUAAAGCACUUGGAAUGGUAGAGUGCUUCCCUCAAUGGAUGGAAGGAGACUGGAUCCCUCUGACACUGACUGGAAGAGCUCUGCUAAGCAAAGCUGCGAGCUCAUGAAAGACUGUGAGGAGAGUAAGAGGUAACCUUUUAUUGUGUUAAGUCAUUAAUGUCAGGGUUUACUUGUUACUACAGCAUGGCUUCCUCUAACACCUCCUCUUAUCAACUGCCUUUUCUGAGUCUUUCCUUGACUCAUGAUUUUGAGUUAACUUAGUAAACUUACCAAAGGCUGACUUUGCACCAAGAAUCAUUAUAGGUACUGGAAAAUUUAAAAGAUGAAGGAGGUGGAGUCAUUUUUUCCUAAGGAGCUGGGAGAGGAGAUAAGAAAUGGGAUCAAAUAAUGAACAACAAGUUUCAAAGGGAUCAGAGUCCAAUAAAACCUGCCGCCUGAGCUCUUAAGAGAGAAAUGGAAAUCGUAGUUGUGAACAUCAGGCUUUCUAGAAGUGGCUGUACCAACAUCAGCCUUGAAAGAGCUCAAUCCAGCAGAUCCUGUCCCACUUGGAACCUGGCUAUGAGUGAGAAAACAUCUGUGGUUGGAAAAUGGGGCUGGUGAUUCAGGCCUGUUUGGGAAGAAGAUGCUCUUGAAUGCUUUGCUCAACAAACACCUCCCUUCUGCAAGGAGGCAACCUGUGAUGCCCCACUCCCAGGAAGUCACUGUAUUGAUGCUGAACUUAGUGUGGGCACUUCAUGGGCACAGCACACUACAGCCCAGAACUCCUGGGCUCAAGUGAUCCUUCCACCACAGCUUUUCCAGCAGCUGGGACUACAGGUACAUGCCAUUGUGCUCAGCUACUGUGUACUUCCUAUGUCCUCAAAUCCUGCUACUCAAAACAUAAUUCCUAAGCCAGAAGCAUCAGCAUCACUGAGAGCUUAUUAGAAAUGCUGAUUCUCAGGCCUAACCUCGGACCAACUGAACCAGAGAAUCUGCAUUUUAACAAGAUCCCUGGGUGAUUCACAGCAUAUAUGAAAGAUUGAAAAUUGCUAUCCUUGAUGCUUUUCUUUUUUUUUUUUUUUUUUUGAGAU
rnacentral:lncRNA from 1 species